UACGAAGGGGGCUAGCGUUGCUCGGAAUCACUGGGCGUAAAGCGCACGUAGGUGGCGACGUAAGUCGGGUGUGAAAGCCCCGGGCUCAACCUGGGAAUUGCAUUCGAGACUGAAUAGCUAGGGUACGGUAGAGGGAAGCGGAAUUUCCGGUGUAGCGGUGAAAUGCGUAGAUAUCGGAAGGAACAUCAGUGGCGAAAGCGGCUUCCUGGACCAGUACCGACGUUCAGGCACGAAAGCGUGGGGAGCAAACAGG
rnacentral:rRNA from 1 species